CCUACGGGUGGCAGCAGUGGGGAAUAUUGCACAAUGGGGGAAACCCUGAUGCAGCGACGCCGCGUGAGUGAAGAAGCGCCUCGGCGCGUAAAGCUCUGUCAGCAGGAACGAUAAUGACGGUACCUGAAGAAGAAGCCCCGGCUAACUACGUGCCAGCAGCCGCGGUAAUACGUAGGGGGCAAGCGUUAUCCGGAAUGACUGGGCGUAAAGGGUGCGUAGGUGGUUUGACAAGUUAGUAGCGCAACUCCGGAGCUCAACUUCGGAACUACUACUAAAACUGUUGGACUUGAGUGCAGGAGGGGCAAUCGGAAUUCCUAGUGUAGCGGUGGAAUGCGUAGAUAGUAGGAGGAACACCAGUGGCGAAGGCGGAUUGCUAGACUGUAACUGACACUGAGGCACGAAAGCGUGGGUAUCGAACAGGAUUAGAUACCCUAGUAGUC
rnacentral:rRNA from 1 species